rnacentral:tRNA from 1 species
GGGGCUGUAGCUCAGUUGGGAGAGCGCUUGAAUGGCAUUCAAGAGGUCGUCGGUUCGACUCCGUCCAGCUCCACCA